UACGAAGGGGGCUAGCGUUGCUCGGAAUCACUGGGCGUAAAGGGUGCGUAGGCGGGUCUUUUAAGUCAGGGGUGAAAUCCUGGAGCUCAACUCCCAGAACUGCCUUUGAUACUGAGGAUCUUGAGUUCGGGAGAGGUGAGUGGAACUGCGAGUGUAGAGGUGAAAUUCGUAGAUAUUCGCAAGAACACCAGUGGCGAAGGCGGCUCACUGGCCCGAUACUGACGCUGAGGCACGAAAGCGUGGGGAGCAAACAGG
rnacentral:rRNA from 1 species